UUUACACAAGCCCAGAUCACACUCUCUGGCUCCACAGUUUGAGCUAGAUAUGCAUUUGAAGAGAGAGCUCCUUCAACUCUGAAUCAAAUAUGUGGACUAAGAGAAUGUUUUCAAUUAUUUAAUUAUGUCAGAAAGGAUAACCUUUUUUUUGUCUUCCGGGCAUGUAGGUAAUUCAAAUGAGCGCAGACAUCUGGGAUAAAACAAAAAGGCUUGAUUGGAGCUUUGGCAGAAUGGACAGCCCUUGUACCAGAAAAAGACAUUACUUUCAGUUUUGGGUUGCGAGAGUUUCAGGGCAAUAGACAUGCCUUCCUUCUCUUUGGACCUUCUCUGUGGCCGC
rnacentral:lncRNA from 1 species